GACAGAUACAGUUUUUAUUAUUUUCUGGGGAAAAGUCCAAUCUCUAGGCUCAUAGAGUCAGUGUUUCCAUAGCCAACCAAGGAUGGCCAGUCCUGGGGGCUGUACCUAAUUAGCAUAGGAUGUCCGGCUGCUGUUGACCACCAAGGUCUCAGAACAGAGCAGCCCUACUGGAGAGGCAGAGAAUAGAGAGAGGAUGAAGUUAUGGGCAGUUCGAACAUUCUACAGACACAAGUAACAUAAAUUCCAGUUCCACAUGUUUUAACUGAAAAAGGAAAAACAGCUACUAGAGGUUGUUGUUUGUUGACUCACAUCACUGAAAAGACCAGGGUCUGAACUGGCUCACCUCAGGCUUGCCUAGAACCUGGGCUUCGUGACUCAGUUUUACUCCCUCUCUUCAUUCCAUCUUCUGCUGGGCUGGGUGAGUCCAUUUGAUGUAGCCUUAUAGAUUCAGGACAUACCAUCCACUUUUAACAUUUUAAACAGAAAAGAAAUCAUCUCUCUCUCGUGGCUCCAGAAAAAAAAUACCCAGAUUCACUCUGCUUAGACCAAUCUGGGCCCAUCCAGCGAUAAUAUCUGUGACUGUGGGAACCAUCUGACUAGUCAUAUCUGGGUUCCAUGAUCCAUCCCUGAGUCUGGACGUAGAGACCACCUGAAUCACAUGGACUGAGAAUAGGGGAGAAGUCUUCACUCCAUAAAAUCGGGUGCCUCUUACCACACACACAAAAUGUAGAGGGAUGGGUGUUUGCAAAUAUAAGUAUUUGCAACCAGUCGAAUUUAAUUUAAAUCACUGAAUUGUAGAAACAAACAGUGUCUGCA
rnacentral:lncRNA from 1 species